GCAGCAGCUAGCUGCGUCUCGGAAAGGUCCCUGUAAUUAAAUUAGUCCGGGAAGACACCGUGCACAUGCUGGUGUGUGCAUGCCUGGGGAGGGAGAGGAAGAGGCACCUUCACACCCACUCUGUUUACAUCGCCGGUGCGCGCCUCGAUCCGAUCCUCAUCUCCUCCUUCUUCUCCCCGUUUCUCUCCCUGCCCUCCCCCCGCACCCCCACCCCCGCUCUCCCGGUACGCUAUCGCCGUGCACGCUUCGGCUCCUGGGCGGUCAUAGAGGAGUUCCUGCCCACACUGAAAGAAUAGCUCAACAUCUGUCAUCCCAUUCUCUGUGAUGGCCCAAAAUCAGGAAGACUACAUCUGUCCUCUUCCUUUCAGAUACUUCUGGGAGAGAGAGCUUUCACACUUUGUCAGGCACAGGGGUUUCCUGGGGUACUGUAACAUAGAAGGCUAUCAUCUGCUCGAGUAACAUGAAAAAUUGAGAAGCUGCCAUAAAUGAAACUCUCUUCUGAAAACUGCUCUAUGUUAUGAUGGAUAAAAGGAUUCUCCUGGAACUGUAGCUCCAGAAGUGAACACCCAUCUAUCCUGAUUUUCUCUCUUUUGUAGUCUCGUGUUCCUCAUGUGAUUCAAGUGAAGUUUUAUAGGUGGAAUGCACUUGUGUAUUCCUUAUUUCCUGAGUGCACAACUUCAUACACUCAGGACUGAUUCACAGAAAUGCUGAGUGCUCACAGAUGCUGCCAAAAUAAAUGGGACCUAUGCUUUAGACGUAUAAAAUACUAUAAAAAUGCUAAGCAUCUUGGAAAAUCUAGCUCUGAGAGCACAUUAUAUUGAGGACCCCAAAUUAGUAGAUAUUUUUAUCAGUCUUGGCCAUAAUGGCUCAGCCCUUCACUUCCAUAUCUAUAAAGUGAGUCUAAUAGUACAGUCUCACUUCUCAGGUUUGAAGGUAAAUUAAUUAGUAUUUCGGAAGCACUCAGAAACCCUACUAGAGAAUGCUACAGAAGCACCCAUAAGAUAUUAAUA